rnacentral:misc_RNA from 1 species
GAUGAAGAACGUAGCGAAAUGCGAUAAGUAAUGUGAAUUGCAGAUUUCAGUGAAUCAUCGAAUCUUUGAACGCACCUUGCGCCCUUUGGCUAUUCCGAAGGGCAUGCCUGUUUGAGUAUCAUGAACACCUCAACUCUCAUGGUUUGCCAUGAUGAGCUUGGACUCUGGGGGUCUUGCUGGCCUAUGGUCAGCUCCUCUCAAAUAAAUCAGCUUGCCAGUGUUUGGUGGCAUCACAGGUGUGAUAACUAUCUACGCUUGUGGUUUUCCAUCAGGUAACCUUCAGUGAUGGAGGUUCGCUGGAGCUCAUAAAUGUCCCUCCUCAGCGAGGACAGCUUUUUGAACGUUUGAUCUCAAAUCAGGUAGGACUACCCGCUGAACUUAAGCAUAUCAAUAAGCGGAGGA